UUUAUUCUCAACAGGACAUGUGUAAUAGGAAGGAAGAUGAAGGUGGAGUAGAAUAGAUAUGCUGACAGCCUGAGGAAGUGAAGAACAUCUGCAGCCACAUUAAAAUAGUAGUAGUUAUUACAGCGAACAGGAUAUUCUCCAAGGGGGAAUGGCAGGUGCUUGACUUAAAACACAGUUUGAAAAGCAUUUUUGGAACAUAUUUCAGAAUGCUGUGCAAGAAUCAAACUUGAUCAAGAAAUGUGACUACGCCUGUGCAACAAUAGCUCUGACUUCAUCCAAGAAACCAAUGCCAGCUCUUCUUCAUCACUAACUUAGUUCUGGUUUCAGCAUCAGUUCCUAGGGAUAGUGGCACACCUGAAAAAGGAGCAGAGCUUUGAUCUUGUGACUGCCAUUUUGACUUUUUUUAUCUCCUCCUUUGCAGACACCACUGGGCAGAAUAGUUCAUGGUUGCUGGUAAACCAGGGUAUGGAGGAUACUCCUCGAUCCCUACCUUGCUUGGGGGAUUACCAGAAGCAUAGGGCUGGCAACUGUAGACUUAGGACCCAUUUAGGCUUGUUGAAUGAUUUUAAUCC